GACGAACGCUGGCGGCGUGCUUAACACAUGCAAGUCGAACGGAAAGGCCCUGCUUUUGUGGGGUGCUCGAGUGGCGAACGGGUGAGUAACACGUGAGUAACCUGCCCUUGACUUUGGGAUAACUUCAGGAAACUGGGGCUAAUACCGGAUAGGAGCUCCUGCUGCAUGGUGGGGGUUGGAAAGUUUCGGCGGUUGGGGAUGGACUCGCGGCUUAUCAGCUUGUUGGUGGGGUAGUGGCUUACCAAGGCUUUGACGGGUAGCCGGCCUGAGAGGGUGACCGGCAACAUUGGGACUGAGAUACGGCCCAGACUCCUACGGGAGGCAGCAGUGGGGAAUAUUGCACAAUGGGCGGAAGCCUGAGGCAGCAACGCCGCGUGCGGGAUGACGGCCUUCGGGUUGUAAACCGCUUUCGCCUGUGACGAAGCGUGAGUGACGGUAAUGGGGAAAGAAGCACCGGCUAACUACGU
rnacentral:rRNA from 1 species